rnacentral:lncRNA from 1 species
AUGUGGCCAAGGAGCCAUGUCAUAGCCUUUCUGAGCAACUAUCUUUUCCCUGUAUUCGCCAACGACGUCCUUGGACAACGACAGCAUGGAAAGAAAGAGAAAGUGGCAACCUACUGCCCCCCGCACCUGUCUGACCUUCCUUCCGUGGCAGUCAGUGGAACACAGAGAGUGUUGGUAGACUGUGUGCAUGUCACAAAUGGAAAAGAAGGCACUGAGUUUGAUUUGUGCAGUGAUGACACUCUUCUGAAGUCACCUGUAUACUCUAUCCAAAUGGUUUCCACAAGAAGCUAUUUAAUGAUGAAUCCAUUUACAUGUGACACUGCUACAUGGAUGUUCCCUGUGUGUCCUGGCAGCAUGACCUGCCUCUUCUUCACCUGGGGUGGACAGCCUCGUCUGGCUUCUGCUGGGCUGCACAUGGAUGAGGGGCAGACGCUCAGGCAUCCCUGAAGACUGAGACACCAGGAGACAGUAAGACAUUCACUAGCCAUAGUUCAGGCAUCCAGGGCAGGAACAGAGGCCAGUGGACCCACCACGACCCCAGACAUAGGUGGCCUGGAAAUUCAAAUUAGAAAAUACAUUUUCUAACAUUUUUGAAAAUAAAAAGUCUGGAAAAUAUUCUAAGCAUGAAAGGAAUGUGAUUUUUAAGGCCAAUUCUAGAAAA